rnacentral:rRNA from 1 species
CCUACGGGGGGCAGCAGUGAGGAAUAUUGGUCAAUGGACGAGAGUCUGAACCAGCCAAGUAGCGUGAAGGAUGACUUCCCUAUGGGUUGUAAACUUCUUUUAUAUGGGAAUAAAACGUUCCACGUGUGGGAUUUUGUAUGUACCAUAUGAAUAAGGAUCGGCUAACUCCGUGCCAGCAGCCGCGGUAAUACGGAGGAUCCGAGCGUUAUCCGGAUUUAUUGGGUGUAAAGGGAGCGUAGGUGGAUUGUUAAGUCAGUUGUGAAAGUUUGCGGCUCAACCGUAAAAUUGCAGUUGAAACUGGCAGUCUUGAGUACAGUAGAGGUGGGCGGAAUUCGUGGUGUAGCGGUGAAAUGCUUAGAUAUCACGAAGAACUCCGAUUGCGAAGGCAGUUCACUGGACUGCAACUGACACUGAGGCUCGAAAGUGUGGGUAUCAAACAGGAUUAGAUACCCUAGUAGUC